GGUAAGGUGGCCGAGUAGGUGGCGGAUUGUAGACCCGAAGACGGAGGUGAGAGACCUCCCCUUACCA
rnacentral:tRNA from 1 species